GAUGAACGCUGACCGAAUGCUUAACACAUCAGCAAUUGAUUGGUGGCGGACGGGUGAGUAACGCGUAAAGAACUUACCUCACCGUUAGGGACAACAUUUGGAAACGAAUGCUAAUACCUAAUACUGUGAGAGAGCUUUUCGUCCCAUGAGGUAGUUGGAGAGGUAACGGCUCACCAAGCCGAUGAUGGUAGCCGGCUUGAGAGGGUGAUCGGCAACAAGGGGACAGAGAGACGGCCCUUACUCCUACGGGAGGCAGCAGUGGGGAAUAUGGGACAAUGGACCAAAGUCUGAUCCAGCAAUUCGGUGGGCACGAUGAAGUUUUCGGAAUGUAAAGUGCUUUCAGUUGGGAAGCGGUACCAACAGAAGAAGUGACGGCUAAAUACGUGCCAGCAGCCGCGGUAAUUC
rnacentral:rRNA from 1 species